rnacentral:ncRNA from 1 species
AGAAAUGCUAAGACGAGGAGGAGUACAUGCUCAACCGGUUUUCAGAGAGAAGAUGGCAGGUGAGAAUCUUCAGCAAGGGAGUAUGGAAGUAGCCUCUGAGCAGUGAGACGAACGAAGCGGAUAACAGGUUUUCAGUAGCGCUCAACGGAAGUUUCCAACGUUAUAUGGAAAAUGAUAUCGAAAAAAUCUGAUUUUUUUCCGUAUCAGCAGAGUGCAGGAAGAGAUUCCUGAAAUUAGGUGGUAACACGGAUUGUUUAUUCGCCCUAAGC